rnacentral:rRNA from 1 species
UACGUAGGGUGCGAGCGUUGUCCGGAUUUAUUGGGCGUAAAGAGCUCGUAGGCGGUUUGUCGCGUCGGCCGUGAAAUCUCCACGCUUAACGUGGAGCGUGCGGUCGAUACGGGCAGACUUGAGUUCGGUAGGGGAGAUCGGAAUUCCUGGUGUAGCGGUGAAAUGCGCAGAUAUCAGGAGGAACACCGGUGGCGAAGGCGGGUCUCUGGGCAACAACUGACGCUGAGGAGCGAAAGCGUGGGGAGCGAACAGG